rnacentral:tRNA from 3 species
GCGAGUGUGGCGGAAUUGGUAGACGCGCUAGAUUUAGGUUCUAGUGUCUUAGGAUGUGAGAGUUCGAGUCUCUCCACUCGCACCA